rnacentral:lncRNA from 1 species
AAUACACAUUUCCUGGAUUAAGAUACUGACAUUUUGGGGUUGUUUGUUAAGCAUUUGGUGUUUAAUUUAUAAGGUAAACUAGAGUCUCUUCAUCACCAACACUAUUCCAGAGUGUGAGAAUGCUGCCUCUGACAGAACAGGUGAUAAGGAGAAGAAAGGCCGAGCCCCAGAAGUCAAGGUGGCAGAAAGAAGAAAGGAGCUGUGAUGAAAGGCUAUUUUGUUGGAAAAAACAGAAAUUUCCUCAAGGAAUGGGUUUGUUAUCACAGAGCUCCAGCCCCAUCAUCCCUCUUCUGUACAUAUCCACUUACUCUUCCAGCAUGAGGCCCUCAGAUGCGGAGCAGAUGCCAGCCUCCUGAACUGUGAGUCAAACCUCUUUUCUUUGUAUAAAAAUUAUCCAGUCUCAAGUAUUCUGUUAUGGCAACAUAAAGUGGCCCAAGAUAGGUGCUUUGGGGACAUCCAAGUAAAAAAUGUAAUAGGAAGUUGGACAUAAGUGUACAGAGUUAACAG